rnacentral:rRNA from 2 species
AGGUGUGAUCAUACCAGCACUAAUGCACUGGAUCCUAUUAGAACUCCAUAGUUAAGCGUGCCUAGACGAAAGCAGUACUAGGAUGAGUGACCUCCUGGGAAGUCCUCGUGUUGCACCUC